UAGGGAAUCUUCGGCAAUGGGGGCAACCCUGACCGAGCAACGCCGCGUGAGUGAAGAAGGUUUUCGGAUCGUAAAGCUCUGUUGUAAGUCAAGAACGAGUGUGAGAGUGGAAAGUUCACACUGUGACGGUAGCUUACCAGGAAGGGACGGCUAACUACGUGCCAGCAGCCGCGGUAAUACGUAGGUCCCGAGCGUUGUCCGGAUUUAUUGGGCGUAAAGCGAGCGCAGGCGGUUUGAUAAGUCUGAAGUUAAAGGCUGUGGCUCAACCAUAGUUCGCUUUGGAAACUGUCAAACUUGAGUGCAGAAGGGGAGAGUGGAAUUCCAUGUGUAGCGGUGAAAUGCGUAGAUAUAUGGAGGAACACCGGUGGCGAAAGCGGCUCUCUGGUCUGUAACUGACGCUGAGGCUCGAAAGCGUGGGGAGCGAACAGGAUUAGAUACCCUGGUAGUCCACGCCGUAAACGAUGAGUGCUAGGUGUAGGAGGUAUCGACCCCUUCUGUGCCGGAGUUAACGCAAUAAGUACCCCGCCUGGGGAGUACGACCGCAAGGUUG
rnacentral:rRNA from 1 species